AACCCUUGAGAGUGGCGAACGGGUGAGUAAUAUACUCGGAACGUGCCCAGUCGUGGGGGAUAACGUAGCGAAAGUUACGCUAAUACCGCAUACGAUCUAAGGAUGAAGCGGGGAUCGCAAGACCUCGCGCGAUUGGAGCGGCCGAUAUCAGAUUAGGUAGUUGGUGAGGUAAGGCUCACCAAGCCGACGAUCUGUAGCUGGUCUGAGAGGAUGAUCAGCCACACUGGGACUGAGACACGGCCCAGACUCCUACGGGAGGCAGCAGUGGGAAUAUUGGACAAUGGGCGAAAGCCUGAUCCAGCAAUGCCGCGUGAGUGAUGAAGGCCUUAGGGUUGUAAAGCUCUUUUACCCGGGAUGAUAAUGACAGUACCGGGAGAAUAAGCUCCGGCUAACUCCGUG
rnacentral:rRNA from 1 species